AAACGUGGGCGAUCGCCGACGGCCAUCAAACGUUGACCUCAAUUUAAACAAUUACCUUCCCGUCUGUUUUUAAAAAUUGAAAAACCCUCUUCAUAGCCUUCUCUACUUAAAUCCCUCUCUCUCGCCAUGUAAUCUCCAUGCGCCUCUCUCACUCUCUAGUGCUUCACUGUCUCUCUACAUGUGAUAUAUAUUUACGUAGAUAGAUACAUAUAAUUUUGGGAAUGCUUAGAGACAGAGAUGGAAAAAGAGAGGAGCAUCGUGGUGCAAGCGGAUUCGCAGGCGGAGAUGAAGAAGAAAGCGGGGAGCUGUGGGAGCUGGAUUUUAAUGGACGAGGCGGGGAAGAGCAAGGUGUUGGAUGUGGACAAGUACACCAUUAUGCACAGAGUUCAGAUUCAUGCUCGCGAUCUUCGCAUUCUCGAUCCUCUCUUGUCUUACCCUUCCACCAUCCUCGGCCGUGAAAAAGCUAUCGUCCUCAAUUUGGAGCACAUCAAGGCCAUUAUUACAUCCGAGGAGGUAUUGCUUCGAGAUCCAUUGGAUGAUGAUGUUAUCCUUGUUAUUGAGGAACUACAAAGGCGAUUGCCCCUUAUAAAUUCCAUUCGUGAAGGCCAAAUAGAUGGAAAGGAGUUUGGUGGCCAACAAGAUGCUGAAGCUGGUGAAGAAGAAGAAUCUCCAUUUGAAUUUCGGGUCUUGGAGGUAGCUUUGGAAGCCAUUUGUAGUUUUUUUGACACCCGUACAACAGAGCUAGAGACGGUUGCUUAUCCAGCUUUAGAUGAACUCACUUCUAAGAUUAGUACCCAUAACUUGGAUCAGGUUCGUAAAUUGAAGAGUGCAAUGACAAGGUUAACUGCUAGGGUUCAAAAGGUGAGAGAUGAGCUUGAACAAUUACUGGACGAUGAUGAUGAUAUGGCUGAUCUUUACUUGUCAAGAAAAUUGGCAGACGCAUCUUCGCCUGUUAGUGGCUCGGGUGCUGCCAAUUGGUGUCCUGCCUCACCUACCUUAGGCUCGAAGAUAUCUAGAGCAAGUAGGGCUAGUGUGGCAACAUUUCGCGGAGAUGAGAAUGAUGUUGAGGAGCUUGAAAUGUUACUUGAGGCUUACUUCAUGCAAAUUGAUGGAACUUUGAACAAAUUGACUACACUGCGUGAAUAUAUUGAAGAUACAGAGGAUUACAUUAAUAUUCAGCUUGACAAUCAUCGAAAUCAGCUGAUUCAGUUAGAGCUUUUUCUAAGCUCUGCAACUGUUUCUUUGUCUCUUUAUUCAUUGAUAGCAGGAAUAUUUGGUGUGAAUAUCCCAUAUACUUGGAACACCAAACACGCUUACAUGUAUAAAUGGGUGGUAAUGGUCGCUGGGGCAUUUUGUGCCAGUAUUUUUAUACUUAUCAUUUCCUAUGCUCGCUACAAGGGUCUGGUUGGAUCUUGAAAUUUAUAAAUGAGUAAGAAUUAUUUAAAUUACAGUAGAGGUCAUUUUGUAAGGGAUCUCCCGUUGGAAAGAAGUGCAGAUGGAUCCGUGGGUCUCGCAGAUUGCAGAGAAGAUCCAGAAGCAGUGUUGUUUGCAGCCUAACCCGUUUCGGGUGCGAGCACGGAUAAUUGUAAACAACUUUGUAGAGUCAUAUUUUACUCAUUUGAUCUUUCGAUUUGGAGUCCCUUGUUAUUCUGUUCUUUAUAUAUGAAGUGGGGUCAAUUAUAGUGUCCUCUAUUUCCGCAUAAUCUUGGUAAUUAUCUCUACUUAAAUUGCUUUCCUUAAAUACAUGUAAUGAAAUAAGUUGUUUCUAUCCUGAUCAAAUUCAAGUUGUUUCUAUAAACCACGCAAUCAGUGUAAACCAUGUUUUU